AUGUGCUUUUACUUUUGCAGAGUAAUGAAGGUCACCAAAACUCAAAGCCCUUUCGACACUGUGAGGAGAGAAGCAGUCAGAGUGCGGAUACAGGAGGAAAUACAGUGUCAUGUCAACUAUGGACUCCAUCUGUGGAAGGGCUGUACUUUGAGGCAGACCUUCUUAGCUGAUGUAAAGGAGACAGUGGUCCAGUCAAGAACCAGUCCCAUCGUCCUGUUGGGACCUCCAGGCUGGGGAAAGAGCACCACCAUGGCUGCAUUAGCACAGCUAGCACCCUCCUGGCUACCAGGGUGAGAUGCUUGUAGAGCAGUGAAUCACAACAUAAAUCUGUCAACAUACAGAUUUUUCCGACACAAUGUAUUGAUGUCGAAGAGUAUAUACACUCAGGUGUAACCAAGAUUAAACAAGUGUCAUUCCAUGCAAACUGUAGUUCAUGUCAUGGAUGUUCUUAGAAAAAUGUGUGUUGAAACUUCUUUUUCUCAGAUAAAACUUUGUUUUAUUGUUUUCUCUUCCACAAAACAUACAAACAACAAACAAAAUGAAAAUAGAGGAAAAGGAAUGAAAGAAAAAAAAAAUGCACAUUCUUGACAGUACAGAGUGCCAUAUAACUAUGCAACAGUACGUCUUAUGUUUAUUAAUUGAGCAUAAACAGCUAAAAGGUACAUAGUGUCUAAGGAGGGAAUGCAUAAGAGUCAGAUGUCAUGAUCAUCAUCUCCCUAUCAUUUCCCAAUAAGGAGCCCAGACCAUUCGGAAAGCAUUUUUUUAACCCUUUGGAUAAAGAAGCGGUCUUAGUUAGCUCAUCUUUCCAUUCCUUAAGACACAUUUUUCAUCAACUUCCAGUGUUUUAUGAUUACCCUACUUCUCCGAUGAGCAUACUGUGGGGAUUGGUCAUUCUCCCUGAGUAGAAUACCCAAAAUACAUAAUGCUGGACCCGCAUUGAACUCACUCACCUCCUCACAUUAUUGAUACAUUGGACAACUGAUUUCCAGACUUUUGCGUUCAUAUAACAUGUCCAGUGUGCCCCUUUCCUUAUUGUGGCUCCAACAGCUAUCAUUUUCCCAAUCCCAAUCAAGACAUUUUUGCUGGAGUCCAGUAGUAACAUGUUGAAACUUCUGUCAAUUUCAUGGGACAUUUUAAAAUCCUAAAGCCGUAGUCCAAAUGCUUUUUAAAUUAUGAAUUUUUGAAGUUUGCUGCAUUUUUGUGAUUCUUUGUUUAUGUAUUCUAAACCUUACCAGUCAUUUAUUUUGCAUUUUGUUGGGUUAAAAUUGAUCCUGAAAAUUAAUGUGGGACACUACGGAAACAUGGCAACAUAUAUUGAUUUAAAUAGCUGUUGCUGAAUGAUUAAGGUAUUUGAAUUAAUAACAGGAAGUCAUUCAACGAAGAAAAAGAAAAUUGAUAUCUCCACUAGUUUUUACUUUCUUGCAAACUCUUGAUUCUGUGUAGUAUUAGAGAAUUUGAGUGCCACAGAUCAUGUGAAAUAUGUCCUCUGAGCUGCUAAUUCUUUGUACAUUUUACUGGCUAUAAUGGUGGUUUUAUUUGUUCACUAAGUUCUGGACAAUUUUAGUGUUAAAGCUUGUAAUGGUUUGGUCAGUUGCAUAUUAGAUGAUCCUGUCAUCCUGUUAUGUGUGUCUGGACAGAAUAUUAACAUUAGCUCCUUCGCUCAAUGCACAUAUUAUUUUGCAAUUUCAAACUCUCUGAACUAAUGUAAGAGCAGAUUAUUCUAUUUCUGACAAUGUCAUUGGUUCAGAGCCGUGAAGAUAUUGGUGCACUUCAUUGGCUUCACUGGAGAGAGCAGGAAUAUUCGUCUGGUCCUGCAGAGUCUUUGUGUCCAGCUGGCUGAAGCCUACUGUCCCCACACGCAGCUGUCAGAGGUACUGCGCCGUCUCCAGUCAACACAACCCCAUCAGAUCUCCCCUGACUGACUUUGAGUGCAGAUGUCGUGCUUGAAAAGCUCAAAUUAAAGUGGUACAAACAGUGACCACAGACUUUUGACAUGUGUCUGCUUCUGAAUUGUGUAUUUGCAUUUAUUAAGAGUAAUUCUGCUCUGACUGGUCUAAUUGUCUGAAAUUGCCCAGUCUAGUGUUGAUUCUAGGUGUAUAACGUUAUUCGUCUCCUCCAGGACCUCCCUAAGCUGAUCAAUGAGUUCCACUCCCUGCUGGGCCUGGUGGGAGCAGAGCAGCCCCUGGUGGUCCUGCUGGAUGGGUUAGAUGAGCUGUCUGAGGAACAUGGUGCAGACCUCUCCUGGGUCUCAAUCCCACUUCCUCCAAAUGUCCGCCUCGUCCUAUCUGCAACCUCUGACUCCCCCUGCGCUCACACUCUGCAGGUCAGCAGAGUUUAAUUGAAAAUGGGGAAAAAAAGGAUAAUACUGUAUAAAACCAACAGCUACUCUUGAAGGCAGUGAAAAAAUGUCAAAUGAGGUUAAUAGAAGUUAGAAGUGGAAGUGUGAGGAAACAGCCAUAGCCCCGCUCUGUCUGAAGUUAAAAAUAUACCUACCA
ensembl:lncRNA